UACACAUGCAAGUCGAGCGGCAGCGCGGGGGCAACCUUGGCGGCGAGCGGCGAACGGGUGAGUAAUACAUCGGAACGUGUCCUUGAGUGGGGGAUAGCUCGGCGAAAGCCGGAUUAAUACCGCAUAAGCUCUGAGGAGGAAAGCGGGGGACUGGUAACGGCCUCGCGCUGUUGGAGCGGCCGAUGUCGGAUUAGCUAGUUGGUGGGGUAAAGGCCCACCAAGGCGACGAUCCGUAGCUGGUCUGAGAGGAUGAUCAGCCACACUGGAACUGAGACACGGUCCAGACUCCUACGGGAGGCAGCAGUGGGGAAUUUUGGACAAUGGGGGCAACCCUGAUCCAGCCAUUCCGCGUGAGUGAAGAAGGCCUUCGGGUUGUAAAGCUCUUUCGGACGGAACGAAAUGGUUACGGCUAACACCUGUGACUGAUGACGGUACCGUAAGAAGAAGCACCGGCUAACUACGUGCCAGCAGCCGCGGUAAUACGUAGGGUGCGAGCGUUAAUCGGAAUUACUGGGCGUAAAGCGUGCGCAGGCGGCGGCUCAAGUCAGGUGUGAAAUCCCCGGGCUUAACCUGGGAAUUGCGCUUGAAACUAGGUUGCUAGAGUGCGGCAGAGGGGGGUGGAAUUCCACGUGUAGCAGUGAAAUGCGUAGAGAUGUGGAGGAACACCGAUGGCGAAGGCAGCCCCCUGGGCUAGC
rnacentral:rRNA from 1 species